UAGCUGAAUUGCGAUUGGUUGUUGUGGUUUAGCGUCUCCAAGAACAAUCGUUACGACGCGACGACAGCCUGGCGCCGCUGUCGCCGAGUAUGGUUCACUGAAGAAGCAAAUUAAGGAAAUAGAUCAGUCGAACAUUAGACUUCGUUGUGACCAGAGCUCGAUAUCAACGCGUAAAUCAAUCGCCGACAACGGAAGAGGACAAUCUGCACACAGUGGUUUACAAAGAUAAAUGUGGAAGGAGCACUACACGAAUGGCAUACAACUUACACUAAACACAGGGAAGCAGCAAAACUACAG